AAUUUAAAGUCUAAUCUGCCCACUGAUGAUAUAUUAAGGGGCUGCGGUAUAUUGACUGUACAAAGGUAGCAUAAUCAUUACUCUUUUAAUUGAAGACUUGUAUGAAAGAUUUGAUGAAAUAUAAACUGUCUCUAAUUUAAAUAUAAAAUUUAAUUUUUUAGUUAAAAAGCUAAAAUAAAUUUAAAAGACGAGAAGACCCUAUAGAGUUUUAUAUUAAAAUUAUUUAAGAUUAUAUAUAUAAAUAAAUAUUAAAAUUAAAAUUAAUAUUUUAUUGGGGUGAUAAAAAAAUUAAUAUAACUUUUUUUAAAAAUAAAACAUAAAUAAGUGAUUAAUUGAUCCAUUUUUAUGAUUAAAAGAAAAAAUUACCUUAGGGAUAACAGCGUAAUAUUUUUUUUUAGUACAAAUAAGAAAAAAAGUUUGCGACCUCGAUGUUGGAUUAAGAUAAAAUUUAAAUGCAAAAGUUUAAAAUUUUGAUCUGUUCGAUCAUUAAAAUCUUACAUG
rnacentral:rRNA from 1 species